GAUGAAGAACGUAGCGAAAUGCGAUAAGUAGUGCGAAUUGCAGAAUUCAGUGAAUCAUCGAAUCUUUGAACGCACAUUGCGCCCCUUGGUAUCCCGAGGGGCAUGCCUGUUCGAGCGUCAUUUCACCACUCAAGCCUGGCUUGGUGUUGGGCGACGUCCCCUUUGGGGACGCGCCUCGAAACGCUCGGCGGCGUGGCACCGGCUUUAAGCGUAGCAGAAUCUUUCGCUUUGGAAGUCGGGGCCCCGUCUGCCGGAAGACCUACUCGCAAGGUUGACCUCGGAUCAGGCAGGGAUACCCGCUGAACUUAAGCAUAUCAAUAAGCGGAGGA
rnacentral:misc_RNA from 1 species